AUGGCGCUGUACCGCCGCGCGGCCUCCGCGAUCCGGCAGCGCGGGGCCCUGCCCCUGCUCCCGGCGCGGGCGAUGGCGUCGCUCUUCGGCCACGUCGAGCCGGCGCCCAAGGACCCCAUCCUCGGCGUCACCGAGGCCUUCCUCGCCGACCCCUCCCCCGACAAAGUCAACGUCGGCGUCGGCGCCUACCGGGACGACAACGGCAAGCCCGUGGUGCUCGACUGCGUGCGCGAGGCGGAGCGCCGGAUCGCCGGCAACCUCAACAUGGAGUACCUUCCAAUGGGAGGGAGUAUGCACAUGAUUGAGGAGUCACUAAAGCUGGCGUACGGCGAGGACUCCGAGUUCAUCAAAGAUAAAAGAAUUGCAGCGGUGCAGGCACUUUCAGGAACUGGCGCAUGCCGUCUCUUCGCUGAUUUCCAGAAGCGUUUCUUGCCGGAUUCGCAGAUCUACAUACCUACACCAACGUGGUCCAACCAUCAUAAUAUUUGGAGGGAUGCUCAAGUGCCACAGAGGACAUUCUCAUAUUACCAUCCGGAAUCGAGAGGGCUUGACUUUGCAGGAUUGAUGGAUGAUAUCAAGAAUGCUCCAAAUGGUUCGUUCUUUUUGCUUCAUGCAUGUGCCCAUAAUCCUACUGGAGUAGAUCCUACUGAGGAACAAUGGCGAGAAAUAUCCUAUCAGUUCAAGUUGAAGAAUCAUUUCCCAUUUUUUGACAUGGCAUACCAAGGAUUUGCUAGCGGUGAUCCAGAGAGAGAUGCCAAGGCAAUCCGUAUAUUCCUUGAAGACGGACACCAAAUUGGAUGUGCUCAGUCAUAUGCAAAGAACAUGGGUCUUUAUGGCCAGAGAGCGGGAUGUCUGAGUAUCCUCUGCGAGGAUGAGAUGCAAGCAGUUGCUGUUAAGAGCCAAUUGCAACAGAUUGCGAGACCAAUGUACAGCAACCCACCUGUUCAUGGUGCAUUGGUUGUUUCAAUUAUCCUUAGUGAUCCAGAAUUGAAGAAUGUAUGGUUGGGAGAGGUCAAGGGUAUGGCUGAUCGUAUCAUUGGAAUGCGGAAGGCACUUCGGGAGAAUCUUGAAAAGUUAGGUUCACCUUUAUCAUGGGAGCAUGUCACCAAUCAGAUUGGAAUGUUUUGCUACAGUGGGAUGACACCGGAACAAGUCGAUCGCCUGACAAGUGAAUACCAUAUCUACAUGACACGCAACGGGAGAAUAAGCAUGGCCGGUGUAACGACGGGCAACGUCGCCUACUUAGCUAACGCCAUUCAUGAUGUUACCAAGUCAAAUUGA
rnacentral:rRNA from 1 species